rnacentral:snRNA from 1 species
CUUAUUUUUUUUUUUUUUUUUA